UCGGCGAGGGCCUCGGUGACGGUGCACGCCCACGCCUUGGCGUCCGCGCGGGCGUCCAGCCGCUUCUUGACGUUCUUGAUGGGAGUCCUCGCCGCCUUCGAAUCGGGGCCGCCGGCGGAGGUCCCCGGGAAUUCCCCCACCUUCCAGUGUCGCUUCUCCUGCCGCGGGGCGGGGCGGCCGCCGUCCCUGCCGCCGGCGGAGGGCACCGGGAACUCCCCCGCCUUCCAGUGCCGCUUCUCCUGCGGCGGGGCGGCGCGGCCGCCGUCCCUGCCGCCGCCGGCCCCCGGGAACUCCCCCGCUUUCCAAUGCCGCUUCCGUUCCGGCAGUUGGGAUGAGUCCGAGGGGCGGC
rnacentral:lncRNA from 1 species